rnacentral:tmRNA from 1 species
CCCCUUGUCGGACCGCCCUCGCGUCGCUACAUAAGGUCUGUCGGUUCGCCGACUAUGGACAUAAACGCGCUUGUAAUAAGCGGCUCGGACCCGGGGGCGGUACCCGGCGGCUCCACCAAAUUUUCCCGUCGUUGGGGGGACUGUGGGGCCGAAAUAGGAUCGACGAACGUCUAAAGAGGUUAGCUUUGUCCCGGUGAGAUACCACCGUUAUCGGUUCACAAUGCAUAAUUGCCAACGACAAUCGUGCUCCGGUCGCCGUUGCUGCUUAAGCAGUAACAAGACCGAAAUUUAAGUCCUUGCGCCUAGCAGCGUAAGGCGGGGUUCGCAGGCACCUGGCAACAGAAGCCUGCACU